rnacentral:rRNA from 1 species
UGGGGAAUUUUGGACAAUGGACGAAAGUCUGAUCCAGCCAUGCCGCGUGCGGGAAGAAGGCCUUCGGGUUGUAAACCGCUUUUGUCAGGGAAGAAACGGCUCGCUCUAAUACAGUGGGCUAAUGACGGUACCUGAAGAAUAAGCACCGGCUAACUACGUGCCAGCAGCCGCGGUAAUACGUAGGGUGCAAGCGUUAAUCGGAAUUACUGGGCGUAAAGCGUGCGCAGGCGGUUAUGCAAGACAGAUGUGAAAUCCCCGGGCUCAACCUGGGAACUGCAUUUGUGACUGCAUGGCUAGAGUACGGUAGAGGGGGAUGGAAUUCCGCGUGUAGCAGUGAAAUGCGUAGAUAUGCGGAGGAACACCGAUGGCGAAGGCAAUCCCCUGGACCUGUACUGACGCUCAUGCACGAAAGCGUGGGGAGCAAACAGGAUUAGAUACCCCCGUAGUCCCUGAGCGGGCUGGCAAGGCGCAU